AACGAACGCUGGCGGCAUGCCUAACACAUGCAAGUCGAACGAUACCUUCGGGUCUAGUGGCGCACGGGUGCGUAACGCGUGGUAAUCUGCCCUUAGGUUCGGAAUAACUCCCCGAAAGGGGUCCUAAUACCGGCUAAUAUCUUCUGCCCUCAGCUUUUUCGCCGUUGGAUGGGCCCGCGUUGGAUCAGCUAGUUGGUAGGGUAAAAGCCUAUCAAGGUGACGAUCCAUAGCUGGUCUGAGAGGAAGAUCAGCCACACUGGUACUGAGAAACGGUCCAGAAUCUUACGCGAGGGAGGAGAGCGGAAUAUAGGAAAGUCGGGGGAAGGAUGAACCAGCAAGGGCGCGAGAGUGAUGAAGGACGGAGGGAAGUAAAGCUCUUUUACACGGGAGGAUAAUGACAGUACCGGAAGAAUAAGCACCGGCUAACUACGUG
rnacentral:rRNA from 1 species